GGGCGUAUAGCUCAGCGGGAGAGCGCCUCGUUGACAUCGAGGAGGUCCGUGGUUCAAUCCCACGUACGCCCA
rnacentral:tRNA from 2 species